CGCGAAGCUACCGCCGCCGUUGCGCGCUCCGUCAUCGCUACUGCUAGAGCUGCGCCGCCGUGACCGAGCUUCUGCCACCUGAAACCCGCCGCCACUGCCACCAGAAACUGCCACUAAGGCCUAAGUCAGUUUGUCACCACUACUGCAGGACCAUUAGAGCUUCCGGCCGUUAUUAGAGCUGCUGUCCGGUCAAUUUAGAAGUUGCUACUGUGUCGUUCUAUUCUGUUUACCAUGAUAAGUGGUUGUUGCUGUGAUCCCUGCGGUUGAUUGGGAAUUUCUGCGGUUGCUGCCGAUU